rnacentral:rRNA from 1 species
UGAGGAAUAUUGGUCAAUGGGCGAGAGCCUGAACCAGCCAAGUCGCGUGAGGGAAGACGGUCCUACGGAUUGUAAACCUCUUUUGUCGGGGAGCAAUAAAGCGUACGCGUACGCAGAUGCGAGUACCCGAAGAAAAAGCAUCGGCUAACUCCGUGAC